rnacentral:tRNA from 1 species
CGGCGGCCGGGUCGGGGACGGUUUCGUCCUCUGCCGCGGGGCGCAGGGUCAGGCCAUCCUGCGUCUGUUCGGCGUCGAUGCCGGCGC